UUUAAGCUUCCUACGGGAGGCUGCAGUGGGGAAUAUUGGACAAUGGGCGAAAGCCUGAUCCAGCAAUGCCGCGUGAGUGAUGAAGGCCUUAGGGUUGUAAAGCUCUUUUACCCGAGAUGAUAAUGACAGUAUCGGGAGAAUAAGCUCCGGCUAACUCCGUGCCAGCAGCCGCGGUAAUACGGAGGGAGCUAGCGUUGUUCGGAAUUACUGGGCGUAAAGCGCACGUAGGCGGCUUUUUAAGUCAGGGGUGAAAUCCCGGGGCUCAACCCCGGAACUGCCCUUGAAACUGGGAAGCUAGAAUCUUGGAGAGGCGAGUGGAAUUCCGAGUGUAGAGGUGAAAUUCGUAGAUAUUCGGAAGAACACCAGUGGCGAAGGCGACUCGCUGGACAAGUAUUGACGCUGAGGUGCGAAAGCGUGGGGAGCAAACAGGAUUAGAUACCCUUGUAGUCGAAUUCUU
rnacentral:rRNA from 1 species